rnacentral:rRNA from 1 species
GAAAGGCCGCGGCUAUAUUAACUGUGCAAAGGUAGCAUAAUUAGUAGUUUUUUAAUUGAAGGCUUGUAUGAAGGGUUGGACAAAGGAUAAGCUGUUUUUAUUUUUGUUUUUGAAUUUGUCUUUUAAGUGAAAAGACUUAAAUAAAUUUAAGGGACGAUAAGACCCUAUAAAUCUUCAUUAUUGUAUUGGGGUGAUAAGAAUAAUGAAUGAACUGUUCGAAAGUAAGACAAAGAUAUUUGGAAUAGAAGAUCCUCGCUGGAGAUUAGAAGUUUAAGUUACUUUAGGGAUAACAGCGUUAUUUUUUUUGAGAGUUCUAAUCGAAAAAAAAGUUUGCGACCUCGAUGUUGAAUUAAAAUUUCUUUGUGGGGUAGCAUUUACACAAGAAAGUCUGUUCGACUUUUAAAAUUUUAC